CAAAGAAGAAAGAAGAAGAAAGAAGAAAUAAGAAGAGAAGAAGAAGAAGGUACCGUGGGAUCAUGGUUGUUGAUCAUCA
rnacentral:ribozyme from 1 species